rnacentral:tRNA from 1 species
GGGCCGCUAGCUCAGUUGGUAGAGCAACGGACUUUUAAUCCGUAGGUCGUGGGUUCGAUCCGCGCGCGGCUCACCA